GCACUACUGAGGAGUCCUACGAUAGGACGAAACGGCCGUCCAGUGC
rfam:Schistosoma mansoni strain Puerto Rico chromosome 1, complete genome